rnacentral:rRNA from 1 species
AAGACUGGGAUAACUCCGGGAAACCGGGGCUAAUACCGGAUGCUUGUUUGAACCGCAUGGUUCAAACAUAAAAGGUGGCUUCGGCUACCACUUACAGAUGGACCCGCGGCGCAUUAGCUAGUUGGUGAGGUAAUGGCUCACCAAGGCAACGAUGCGUAGCCGACCUGAGAGGGUGAUCGGCCACACUGGGACUGAGACACGGCCCAGACUCCUACGGGAGGCAGCAGUAGGGAAUCUUCCGCAAUGGACGAAAGUCUGACGGAGCAACGCCGCGUGAGUGAUGAAGGUUUUCGGAUCGUAAAGCUCUGUUGUUAGGGAAGAACAAGUACCGUUCGAAUAGGGCGGUACCUUGACGGUACCUAACCAGAAAGCCACGGCUAACUACGUGCCAGCAGCCGCGGUAAUACGUAGGUGGCAAGCGUUGUCCGGAAUUAUUGGGCGUAAAGGGCUCGCAGGCGGUUUCUUAAGUCUGAUGUGAAAGCCCCCGGCUCAACCGGGGAGGGUCAUUGGAAACUGGGGAACUUGAGUGCAGAAGAGGAGAGUGGAAUUCCACGUGUAGCGGUGAAAUGCGUAGAGAUGUGGAGGAACACCAGUGGCGAAGGCGACUCUCUGGUCUGUAACUGACGCUGAGGAGCGAAAGCGUGGGGAGCGAACAGGAUUAGAUACCCUGGUAGUCCACGCCGUAAACGAUGAGUGCUAAGUGUUAGGGGGUUUCCGCCCCUUAGUGCUGCAGCUAACGCAUUAAGCACUCCGCCUGGGGAGUACGGUCGCAAGACUGAAACUCAAAGGAAUUGACGGGGGCCCGCACAAGCGGUGGAGCAUGUGGUUUAAUUCGAAGCAACGCGAAGAACCUUACCAGGUCUUGACAUCCUCUGACAAUCCUAGAGAUAGGACGUCCCCUUCGGGGGCAGAGUGACAGGUGGUGCAUGGUUGUCGUCAGCUCGUGUCGUGAGAUGUUGGGUUAAGUCCCGCAACGAGCGCAACCCUUGAUCUUAGUUGCCAGCAUUCAGUUGGGCACUCUAAGGUGACUGCCGGUGACAAACCGGAGGAAGGUGGGGAUGACGUCAAAUCAUCAUGCCCCUUAUGACCUGGGCUACACACGUGCUACAAUGGACAGAACAAAGGGCAGCGAAACCGCGAGGUUAAGCCAAUCCCACAAAUCUGUUCU